UAGUUUCUCUGUUUAUCCCGAGGGACCCUCUAUGGUGGACCUGCGCCUGGACCUGCUAAUGUGCUGACGGCAUCGACAAGACCUCAACAUCUCGUCUCCAAACUGGCGCUGUGGAUUUAAUGCACUCUUGCCAGAGGACAACUUUGUCCGUCACAGACAUCCGUUUACAUCAGACUUGCACCUGGUUCCAACUCACCUGCUAAUCUGAACAUCAUUGUCAAGUUUCUUCGGGUUGAUGGAUACACGGCUCGGUCUCCACAGGGGUCGUUGGACAAAUGGAAGAGUGGCUUUCAUCUCAACAAUCCUGUCUGCUGCUAAAUGCCUGUCAGAAGCUGUUUGGCUUCCUGCAGCGUAGGGUUGAGUAAGGUGACCUCCAGAGGUCUCACCACCAGGUGGACCUCAAUCAAAAUGCUUACAAAGUCCCUCUUGGGAAGGAGAGCACCCUUCACUUCACAGGCACUGUCCAAAAUCAAUGCACUUAUACUAUUAGCACACAUAUAUUGACCUUGGUACACAUCUUUUUUAAGAA